UCUAUAUCUAAAUAAUAUCACAUAAUACAUAGAAAUCUAUAUCAUUUAAUACAUAUUAUCACGGCCAAAAGCUGUGUGCGCCUCCAGACGAUAUUAUGAAUCACAAACGACUUUGUCGGGUUCUGCGACGUCUCUGGUUCUUCCACUUUCACAUCAACCUGAAGUCGACUGAACCGCGCGCUGCCUGCUGCCGGCUGCCCGCUGCCGAGCGAUGGUGCCUCGCGGCAACCGGCGGCAUGUCGCAGUUCAUGUACUUCAGCCAGUCAAAGCCAAAGUUCCUUUCCCCCAAUUCCUUCUCAACCAUGGCUCAGAUAACCCCCACAACAGUCUCGUUGUGGAAAUACAAGACACGUCAAAGAACCGACAAGAAACACUUGCACACACACACACACACACACACACAUGUGGCGCUCGCACGGUCGAGUCUCAUUGGCGGGCCAACGUCUCUGGGCGGGCCAGGCAGAGUAAGGGGAGGAGCUGAGAUUCCUGAUGACGUCAUGAAUACAGACAUUCCAAAUCAGCGCACUUGAGCCUCCGUUUUUUCAAAGGCGAGCAGAACAGCUAGUGCUUGUUUUACACCAAACGCAAGUUUUAGCCACUGGGGGACAGUAGGCAGGCUAGGGGAACUCAUAUUUAUGUUAGAAAACCUCAUAAAGUGAGAUUUUCAUGUCAUGGGACCUUU